GUUCCUUAAUCAAGGCUCUCUGGUCAUCCUUAGAGCUGACUUUUAAUCAGCGGGUCGUAGGUUCGAAUCCUACAGGGCACACCA
rnacentral:tRNA from 1 species